AGCAGCCUCCUGGGGCACCCAGCCCGCCGCCUCCGCAGGGCCACGUUCCAGCUUCCCUGCGAUGGUGUCACUCUGUCUGCUCGGGACCCGGCACCUGGCAAGGCCAGCGCGUGUCCCUCAGGGACAAAACAGUCUGUCCUGGAGAAGGAGGUCAUCUCGGUGGGUCCAUCUCCGUACACAGCCCAGAACAGACCCGAGCCUUUGUGUCCGGGCAUUUACGAAGGGCAGGGGUCGCGGGCUGGGAGCUCGGCCGUGAAGAACCAGGCGUCCCAGUCCUCUCGCGGCCUGAGCCUCACCGGGGACCCAGACAAGAAGCCAACGGUGGCAGGAGUGAAUUUGUCCUUACAACCCGGCAGGUGCUGGGAACCUGGGAAGGGGCUGACCAGCCCAUCGGUGACAAUUCAAGAUCUUGGCCAGUCUGUGGCUCCUCCACGCUGGGCCUCAUCUCCGCUUCUGGAAAACGGACAGCAGCACGGCCCCCCAGGACUGCAGUCAAGGCAUCAGGGUGUUUCUGUCCAGGGAAGAUGGAAUAAGCCUCGUGAGCCGGCGGCACCACAACCCAAUGCUUAUGUAUCCUCCGUGAGUCAGGGAAACUUCAAGCUUCUGUUAAUGCGCCACCACCGCCACCGCCACAGCAACGGAGACAGUAGCAGGAGAACCACUGCUGGAACCUAAGGCCGAGCCCCUGCGUUUGCACAGGCUCAUGCCCAGAGAGCUGCGGGUUGGAAUUCCAGGCCGUGGGUCUGUCUCCGUGCUGGGAGGCCUCACCCCUCCCUGGCCUGUGUUCUUCACCUGCCACGUGAAGGAACCAAAUAUCCCAAGUUUGGGUCAAACUGGGGCGAGGGAAAGAGACGCGCUGGGGCCUGAGACAGAAGGAAAAAUGAGCCACGCCAACCCUACCGUGAUCUACGCUUCUGUCCGCCAGCAAAAGUGUCCUGUCCUUUCCUUCCAUUCGAGUUUUUAAAACAUUGCUUGAAAAUAGUCUUCAACUUGCUGACUUUGGGGCACCCGCUUUCUUAAAUUUUGCAUGGGAGGCUCGCCGUGAUGUCACAGGGUGGAGUAAGGAGAUGAUUCUGGAAAUUCACGUGGCAUCGUAAUAGUGCUGGGCCAGCGAUGAUAAUGGCCAGUCGUUGUUAAACCUUCUAUGUGGGAAGCCCCGGUCUAAACAAUACGUAUUUCAUUUAACCUUCUCGACAUUCUGUGAGGAAGACAGCAUUAUUAUUUUGAUUUUUGGGCUGUGGGACUGAGGCACCGAGGGGCUAGGGUACCAGCUGAGAGUCACACAACUGGGAGCCUACCCAGGCCUUUGUAUGUCCUUGGGGCCCAGGAGCCUGGGGUCUUGCCCUACUGGACAGGGGACCUAGGCCUGAGAGGGUCACAGGUCACAGGUCCUUCUGGAUGGCCAGAAUCAAGAUGGAGAUGGGUGGGGCAGGAGGCGGGUGAGCCUCCCCCAGAGGAGCCAACCAUAGAGGGUGGACCCUCUUCCCGCUAGUCCUUCCCCAUUAAGCCCCCUCCCACUGAGGUGGGGGUUCCCUCCCCACUGGCUUUUUCUCAGGGAUCCCCCUCCCCCUCCCCCCACACCCUCACCCUCCGAGUCCCCUUCUUCCCUCCUCACCUCUCAACCCCAGCAGGGAUCCCC
ensembl:lncRNA